UGCGCAGGCGGUUUCGUAAGCCAGACGUGAAAUCCCCGGGCUUAACCUGGGAACUGCGUUUGGGACUGCGAGGCUGGAGUACGGCAGAGGGAGGUGGAAUUCCAAGUGUAGCAGUGAAAUGCGUAGAUAUUUGGAGGAACACCGAUGGCGAAGGCAGCCUCCUGGGCUAGUACUGACGCUCAUGCACGAAAGCGUGGGGAGCAAACAGGAUUAGAUACCCUGGUAGUCCACGCCCUAAACGAUGGCGACUAGUUGUUGGGGAUUUAACAUCCUUAGUAACGCAGCUAACGCGUGAAGUCGCCCGCCUGGGGAGUACGGUCGCAAGAUUAAA
rnacentral:rRNA from 1 species